rnacentral:rRNA from 1 species
CGUUAGUGGCGGACGGGUGAGUAACACGUGGGAACGUGCCUUUUGGUUCGGAACAACUCAGGGAAACUUGAGCUAAUACCGAAUGUGCCCUUCGGGGGAAAGAUUUAUCGCCAUUAGAGUGGCCCGCGUCUGAUUAGCUAGUUGGUGAGGUAAAGGCUCACCAAGGCUACGAUCAGUAGCUGGUCUGAGAGGAUGAUCAGCCACACUGGGACUGAGACACGGCCCAG